rnacentral:rRNA from 1 species
UGGGGAAUUUUGGACAAUGGGCGCAAGCCUGAUCCAGCCAUGCCGCGUGCGGGAAGAAGGCCUUCGGGUUGUAAACCGCUUUUGUCAGGGAAGAAACGCUCUGGGCUAAUACCCUGGGGUAAUGACGGUACCUGAAGAAUAAGCACCGGCUAACUACGUGCCAGCAGCCGCGGUAAUACGUAGGGUGCAAGCGUUAAUCGGAAUUACUGGGCGUAAAGCGUGCGCAGGCGGUUAUGCAAGACAGAUGUGAAAUCCCCGGGCUUAACCUGGGAAUUGCGCUUGUAACUGGCAGGCUAGAGUGUGGCAGAGGGGGGUGGAAUUCCACGUGUAGCAGUGAAAUGCGUAGAUAUGUGGAGGAAUACCGAUGGCGAAGGCAGCCCCCUGGGAUAACACUGACGCUCAUGCACGAAAGCGUGGGGAGCAAACAGGAUUAGAUACCCUUGUAGUCCCUGAGCGGGCUGGCAAGGCGCAU